GGCAGACUUUCACCGAAACUGCUUCUACCUGUGAAAUGCACGGCCGUGGCGAGAACAGUUCUUGUAAUCGGUAUUUAUGAGGUACCCAGUUCACAAUUCCCUGGCCACCUCGUUCACCGGAUAGCACUCCCCUAGACUUCUUUCUGUGGGUUUAUGUUAAAGAUAACGUGCAUCGAACAAAGAUAUGAGACAUUAAUGACCCGAGGAAAAAGAUCACUGAUGCCAUUGUCACCAUUGAGGACGCUAUGCUACAGAGAACAUGGCAAGAAAUCGAGCACCGUCUUGAUGUGCUUCGUGCAACUAAUGAUGCCCAUAUACAGGAGAAAGUUGAACAAAAAAGUACUGUGCAUCCCUGCCUCAAGCAGCCCUUUUGAGAUGGCUUUCAGCACCUGAAGAAAUCUUGCUAGAUGCAACUGUGCGGUUCUGAAGCCAGAUGCUGUGGACAGACUGGUGAUUGUCACACAACUUCAAGUUUCUUCAGUUGAAUUUGACCAUUUUUUUCCUCUGAUAUCUCCGUGCAAUAUUGGACAGAACGUGAAGUGAGAAAUUUAUUUUAAAAGCUUAUAGGUUUUUUUUUUUUGUAUCUUUGUGCAAUAUACGAGAAAGUUUACAAAUGCUUUAGUAUUUUGCAAUAUUUGACAGAACUUUGGAUUUUUACACUGAUACAUUGUCAGAUUUUUUCCUUGCUUGUAGGCUGCACAAUUCACCUUCUAUCAGAUCAGUUUAUGUUUAUCCACAAUGUAAUGUUCAUGCCCCAUAUUUCAAUUAUGAUUAGUAGUUGAUCCCCUUUGAACUCAUAUUUUGUUUACAUUAAAGUGUCCGUUUAAAAUGCCCUCAAGUUUUAUUGAUCUUAGUGUAAUUCUUUGUGCAUCUCCUGUAGGGCACUUUGAAAUGGUUUACUCAUACGUGCACUGUUUCAUCUCAAUACUUUUGACUGGUGAUUUUAAAUGUUUUGUAUUAUUUUACUUCAGUUUUAAGUUAAGACUGACUUUAUAUAACUGUUUCCAUUAACCUCAUUAGUAAGCUAAAAUUAAUGUCCUAUUAAGACCAAGUUCAGUAAGACUUAUGAACAUUUUUAAAGGAUGCAAAAUAUCUAGUUAUUGUUAAAGUCCCAGAAAAUAGAUAUUGUUUUGCCAAUAUUACACACCUCUGGUUACACCUUACCAUUCUGGGGUGUGGUCAGAAUUUCUGGGACACAAUAGUUCCAAUUAACAAACCAUUCUCCACUUGCUUUGAGCUGUUAACUGUCUACUAGUAGAUACAGUGAAGAACUUGUGUUUCUUCUAGGUGUAGACAGACGAAAAAGUAGAGAAACUUUAGAAUACGCAGAAGGGAAAUACUCUGGUUAAAGAAAAGGCAUUUCAUCGACGGUUAUUUCCUUACUUUGCACUGGAUUUUGUCAGGACAUACUAUAUUUUUUUUUAAACAUUAAAUAUAUAAAACUAAUGCAUUAUUCAACCACAUACCUUCUCCAAUGUCAGAACCAGUUAUCAGACAUGUCACACCAUUUUUGGAAACUUGGUUUCCUUGAGUGUGUUAAUUUCACAUGUGAAUGAUAUCAACCUAGGAAGUUACCAGUUUGCCCUAGAAUGUGUGAAAGGAUGUCUUGCACAACCACUACAAAUUUUUUUUUUUUAAAAAAACCCAAAAAAUUGUCAUACAGAAAUAU